GCAAGUUAGCGCUGUUUAUUCUCGACAGGACCAUUUUACACGAGAUCAGUUUGAACCUCGGAUCUGGCAGAGCCAUGUCAUCAAAAAACUUAAACCGGACGCUGUCCCCACCAAGUUUAGCCAUAGGCUGCCAAAGCCAGUUCGAAGACCACCACGAGAAAGGGAAGUGGGAAACAUCCAAGGGGAGCCAAUGCAGGAGGAAGACAGCAUCCAGACGCUUCCAUCUCUGGAUUCAACUGCUGCUCUCACAGCACAAGCCUUGCCCACGCAGACAGCAGCACAAUCCAGCAAAGUGCAAAACUGCGACCAGGAGUCUGUGCCUCAGGCGAGCCCUCCAGUUGGUGAGUCACAUGCAAUUCCAGCAUUUAGUAGCCGGGCACACGCAGCGACAUGCAGUCACAAUCAUCCUUAACUCGAGCGUGUGCCAGGCAUACCCUGGGCUAAUUCUUCCGUUCCUUCUUUUUCGGCCUGUAUUUGCU